rnacentral:rRNA from 1 species
SCWGWAYUYKCCCUUAGAGUUUGAUCCUGGCUCAGAACGAACGYUGGCGGCGUGCUUAACACAUGCAAGUCGGACGUGAUCCGGAGCUUGCUCCGGUGAAAGUGGCGCACGGGUGAGUAACGCGUGGAUAAUCUGCCCUGGUAUCUGGGAUAACAUCUCGAAAGGGGUGCUAAUACCGGAUAAGCCUACGGGAUCCUCGGAUUCUGCAGGAAAAGGUGGCCUCUAUUUAUAAGCUACCGUAUCAGGAUGAGUCCGCGUACCAUUAGCUAGUUGGUGGGGUAAUGGCCCACCAAGGCUACGAUGGUUAGCUGGUCUGAGAGGAUGAUCAGCCACACUGGAACUGAGACACGGUCCAGACUCCUACGGGAGGCAGCAGUGGGGAAUUUUGCGCAAUGGGGGAAACCCUGACGCAGCAACGCCGCGUGAGUGAUGAAGGCUUUCGGGUCGUAAAGCUCUGUCAGAGGGGAAGAAAUGAGACUGGCUAAUAUCCAGUUUUCUUGACGGUACCCUCAAAGGAAGCACCGGCUAACUCCGUGCCAGCAGCCGCGGUAAUAC